rnacentral:rRNA from 1 species
UCCUGACUGACCGAUAGUGAACCAGUACCGUGAGGGAAAGGCGAAAAGAACCCCGGCGAGGGGAGUGAAAAAGAACCUGAAACCGUGUACGUACAAGCAGUGGGAGCACGCUUAGGCGUGUGACUGCGUACCUUUUGUAUAAUGGGUCAGCGACUUAUAUUCUGUAGCAAGGUUAACCGAAUAGGGGAGCCGAAGGGAAACCGAGUCUUAACUGGGCGUUAAGUUGCAGGGUAUAGACCCGAAACCCGGUGAUCUAGCCAUGGGCAGGUUGAAGGUUGGGUAACACUAACUGGAGGACCGAACCGACUAAUGUUGAAAAAUUAGCGGAUGACUUGUGGCUGGGGGUGAAAGGCCAAUCAAACCGGGAGAUAGCUGGUUCUCCCCGAAAGCUAUUUAGGUAGCGCCUCGUGAAUUCAUCUCCGGGGGUAGAGCACUGUUUCGGCAAGGGGGUCAUCCCGACUUACCGACCCGAUGCAAACUGCGAAUACCGGAGAAUGUUAUCACGGGAGACACACGGCGGGUGCUAACGUCCGUCGUGAAGAGGGAAACAACCCAGACCGCCAGCUAAGGUCCCA